GCUUUUGACUAUACUUAGUGGCGGACGGGUGAGUAACGCGUGGGCAAUCUGCCCGUAAGAGGGGGAUAACACCGAGAAAUUGGUGCUAAUACCGCAUAACAUCAUGGUGCUGCAUAGUGCUGUGAUCAAAGGAGAAAUCCGCUUAUGGAUGAGCCCGCGUCUGAUUAGCUAGUUGGUAGGGUAACGGCCUACCAAGGCGACGAUCAGUAGCCGGCCUGAGAGGGUGAACGGCCACACUGGAACUGAGACACGGUCCAGACUCCUACGGGAGGCAGCAGUGGGGAAUCUUCCGCAAUGGGCGAAAGCCUUACGGAGCAACGCCGCGUGAGUGAAGAAGGCCUUCGGGUUGUAAAACUCUGUCUUCAGGGAAGAAAAAAAUGACGGUACCUGAGGAGGAAGCCACGGCUAACUACGUGCCAGCAGCCGCGGUAAUACGUAGGUGGCAAGCGUUGUCCGGAAUUACUGGGCGUAAAGAGCGCGUAGGCGGGAAUUUAAGUCAGGAGUGAAAACUGCCGGCUCAACUGGCAGCCUGCUCUUGAAACUGGAUUUCUUGAGGGUAUGAGAGGAAAGCGGAAUUCCUAGUGUAGCGGUGAAAUGCGUAGAUAUUAGGAGGAACACCAGUGGCGAAGGCGGCUUUCUGGCAUACAACUGACGCUGAGGCGCGAAAGCGUGGGGAGCAAACGGGAUUAGAUACCCCGGUAGUCCACGCCGUAAACGAUGGGUACUAGGUGUAGGAGGUAUCGACCCCUUCUGUGCCGUAGUUAACACAAUAAGUACCCCGCCUGGGGAGUACGGCCGCAAGGUUGAAACUCAAAGGAAUUGACGGGGGCCCGCACAAGCGGUGGAGUAUGUGGUUUAAUUCGACGCAACGCGAAGAACCUUACCAGGGCUUGACAUCCU
rnacentral:rRNA from 1 species